rnacentral:rRNA from 1 species
CUCAGGCGGUGAGGUAGUAUUAUUUAACCUAAAGAAUUUGGCGGUUUCUAAACUUACUAGAGGAACCUGCCCCAUAAACGACAAUCCACGAGACAAUCGACCCGUUCUUGUAAAACAGCUUAUAUACCGUCGUUUAGGGGAUUAAAUAAAUAACUGCUCUUAAUUGCUUAGGCUAAUAAAUCAGAUCAAGGUGUAGCUUAUGUCCGGGAGAGGGUGGGUUACAAUAAGACCUUAAACGGAAUUUUCAUUUUAUCAUGGAGAAGAAGGUGGAUUUAGAAGUAAGGCCUAUCAACCUGAAGGAGGCUCUGAGAAAUGUACACAUCGCCCGUCGCUCUCUUGUCCGAAGAGAUAAGUCGUAACAAAGUAGGUAUACCGGAAGGUGUAUCUUGAGAGA